UUCCUAGGGGUCGAAUGACUGCGACCUUGAUGGCCCCAGCCUGUCCCCGGGUGAGGCUUUCCACGACUUCGUGCUUCGGAAUUUCCACUCCUCUAUCUUUGCUCAGGUACUCUCACCCUCACUGCUGCUGGUUCCCUCUUGCCUCUGGGUCUCGCCAUAUCCUCGCCUCCCCUCCUGCAACUUGGCUUGGGUCCACAACACCCUCAAUUUUUGGUUGGAUGGUUCAAUUCCCGCUGCACCGGUCAACCAAGUCGCCCCGGCCAUCUUCGUCGUCACCGUCACGCGGCCCUCACUUGUGCGGUUCAUCCUCACCCUUAGGGACCUUUGCCAUGGUCGCGUCCAUCUCAGGUUCUUCCCAGACCUCCA
rnacentral:lncRNA from 1 species